rnacentral:rRNA from 1 species
UACGUAGGCAGCAAGCGUUGUUCGGAGUUACUGGGCGUAAAGGGUGUGUAGGCGGUUCUUUAAGUUUGGUGUGAAAUCUCCCGGCUCAACUGGGAGGGUGCGCCGAAUACUGAGGGCCUAGAGUACGGGAGAGGAAAGUGGAAUUCCUGGUGUAGCGGUGAAAUGCGUAGAUAUCAGGAGGAACACCGGUGGUGUAGACGGCUUUCUGGACCGUAACUGACGCUGAAACACGAAAGCGUGGGUAGCAAACAGG